rnacentral:rRNA from 1 species
UACGUAGGGUCCGAGCGUUGCCCGGAAUUAUUGGGCGUAAAGGGCUCGUAGGCGGUGUGUCACGUCGGCCGUGAAAACCUGCAGCUUAACUGUGGGCGUGCGGUCGAUACGGGCAUCACUGGAGUUCGGCAGGGGAGACUGGAAUUCCUGGUGUAGCGGUGAAAUGCGCAGAUAUCAGGAGGAACACCGGUGGCGAAGGCGGGUCUCUGGGCCGAUACUGACGCUGAGGAGCGAAAGCGUGGGGAGCAAACAGG